rnacentral:rRNA from 1 species
CACAAAGCCCGUCGCUCCUACCGAUUGAAUGGUCCGGUGAAGUGUUCGGAUUGCGGCGACGUGGGCGGUUCGCCGCCCGCGACGUCGCAAGAAGUCCACUGAACCUUAUCAUUUAGAGGAAGGAGAAGUCGUAACAAGGUUUCCGUAGGUGAACCUGCGGAAGGAUCA